rnacentral:tRNA from 1 species
UCCUCAGUAGCUCAGUGGUAGAGCGGUCGGCUGUUAACUGACUGGUCGUAGGUUCGAAUCCUACCUGAGAAA